UCGGGCUGCGGAGAUAGAGAGCACCAGAGUGUGGCAGUCAAAGGUGAGCCUUAAGUAACUGCCAAUGCUGCUCUCAUGGCGACAAAUAUGCAUCCAUAUUCAGUAUGCUCCAAAUGGAAAGACAAAUUCCACAAGCUCGACAAAUGCAAGAGCGGCGUCAAGGCACCUUGAAGCGGAUGAUGUAGGCAGCUAUGAGAACCCCGAAGCUCUGGAGGAGGUCCCCCAAAGCGUGGAUGAAGGCGGCUCGGACAGCCAGGCUGCCGUGCGGCCUCUGGUUCUGUGAUUGUGACUCCGAAGCGGCUGCCGCGCCGUGAGAGUGACUGUGGCCAUGAGAGUGCAUGUGACCACCUUGGUUUAAUAAGAAGCCCAUUCUGAAUUGGAAAAAAAGGAGCAUCUUUUAUGUUCAACUUAUUACUAUUGUCACAACUUUCACCCACCCAAAAAGACCCCCGUCUGAUUGAGUGAGAAACACACAUUCAGACUCACAUGAGGUUGACAGCCACGCCCACAGCUGCUGUGAUGAUCAUAACAUCGCUAUUGAUGUUGAAGUCUUGGUUUACUGUCCGCUGAAUGGCCUCAAAUAGCAGUAUCGCCGUCAGGAUGUAGAUGAGCGCCACACUAAGGACAGCUGAUAUUACCUCUGCCCCGGAAACAGUGAAGUAUCACAGUAGAAGCAUUUUUUGGGUGGAUGAGGCCCUCUUGGGGUCUGAAUCACAGAUAGACUAUAAAAAUAACUUUCAUCAUCUAUGUACUUGAUUACUCUCUGACAAAUCAAGGAAAAUGUCAAAAAUUGCCUUCUGAAUUCAAACCUUAUGGUCAUUGAAAGGUACAGUAACUGUUUUCUUAUCAUUUGUGCCCCAGCCCUUAACUUUUCACAGGAAUGUGAACAAAUGAUGCUAUCUAGAUUUGUUAUAGAAUUUCCACAAAAUGGCAUACUUCAACGUCCUGGGUGGAGGAAACACCUCUUUGUAAAGGAAUGUAAUUAACGUAUUUUUUAAACUACGUAAAGCAAACUUUUUUCGUAGUUGGGCUGAUCCUGCGACUUAUACUCGGGUGCGACUUGUAAAUAAAAUUAGAGCUCAGACUGGCACCUGCUCCCCAACCAUGUUGACUUUCUUUGGCCGGUUGAUUCAUACUUUUGGUGAAUCACCAACAGUAGCCAGAAGGUAGCGGUAAUGCACCAAAGGUACCCUCCCAAAAAAGUGGUAGUCAAAGAAGAAGACACUGCGCCAUGAAUCAUUCCACAGUUUUGAGUCACAUCUCGGCUUGGAAUUGUCAGUUCAGGAUCUUGAAAGAAGAGCCUUACCGAGGCGAUGCAGUCCAAAGGUGAAUCUCUUGGUGGGCGGUUUAGUGGACAGCCAUAGAGCCAGCAGAGAGAACAGGAUCCCCACCACAUCGGUUAACAUGUGCACAGCGUCAGUCAUAAUGGCUAAGCUAUUUGAAACAUAGCCACCUGAAAGAACCAUACAAUGAAAUCCAUGAUACUUGGGGACAAGAACAGAACCCUGCCAUGACAUUGGCUAACAUAAUACCUACAUAAAUGCAUAAAAUUAAUCAAAUGUUUAUUGUGAUGACUGUUUUUCAUGUUUUAAUCUAGAGUGAAAGCUUGCAGCACAGUGGCGUCAUGGUUAGCACGUCUGUGUAUCACAGCUGAAAAGUUGGGGUUUGAAUACAGUGUGUAUUAAAAAAACUAUGAAACAAUCAAACAGUAUCAUAAACAAUACAAUUACAUUACAAUAUUUAUAAGGGAAGUAUUUAAUGAAAUUGUUAUUUUA